rnacentral:rRNA from 1 species
CUGUGCAAAGGUAGCAUAAUCAUUAGUUUUUUAAUUGAAAGCUGGAAUGAAGGGUUUGAUAAAAUAAAUACUGUCUCAUUGGUUAUUUUUAGAAUUUUAUUUUUAAGUAAAAAAGCUUAAAUUUUUUAGAAAGACGAGAAGACCCUAUAGAGUUUAAUAAAAUUAAUUUUUAAUUUUAUUUAGAUUUAAAAUUAAAUUAUUUUUAAGUUUAUUUCAUUGGGGUGAUGUAAAAAUUAAAUUAACUUUUUAUUUAUUUAAACAUAGAUUUAUGGGUUAUUGAUCUUAAGUUUUAGAUUAUAAGAUAUAAUUACCUUAGGGAUAACAGCGUAAUUUUUUUUGAGAGUUCUUAUUGAAUAAGGAGUUUGCGACCUCGAUGUUGGAUUAAAGAUAAAGUUUGGUGGAGGAGCUAAAGUUUUAAGUCUGUUCGACUUUUAAAUCU